CUGGCUCAGAUUGAACGCUGGCGGCAUGCCUUACACAUGCNNGUCGAACGGCAGCACGGGGGCAACCCUGGUGGCGAGUGGCGAACGGGUGAGUAACAUAUCGGAACGUGCCCUGGAGUGGGGGAUAACUAGUCGAAAGAUUAGCUAAUACCGCAUACGAUCUACGGAUGAAAGUGGGGGAUCGCAAGACCUCAUGCUCGUGGAGCGGCCGAUAUCUGAUUAGCUAGUUGGUGGGGUAAAGGCCUACCAAGGCAUCGAUCAGUAGCUGGUCUGAGAGGACGACCAGCCACACUGGGACUGAGACACGGCCCAGACUCCUACGGGAGGCAGCAGUGGGGAAUUUUGGACAAUGGGCGCAAGCCUGAUCCAGCAAUGCCGCGUGAGUGAAGAAGGCCUUCGGGUUGUAAAGCUCUUUUGUCAGGGAAGAAACGGUUCGGGUUAAUACCUUGGGCUAAUGACGGUACCUGAAGAAUAAGCACCGGCUAACUACGUGCCAGCAGCCGCGGUAAUACGUAGGGUGCAAGCGUUAAUCGGAAUUACUGGGCGUAAAGCGUGCGCAGGCGGUUGUGCAAGACAGAUGUGAAAUCCCCGGGCUCAACG
rnacentral:rRNA from 1 species